GCCGAGGUGGCGGAAUUGGCAGACGCAGGGGACUUAAAAUCCCCCGGGAGAAAUCCUAUGCCGGUUCGAAUCCGGCCCUCGGCA
rnacentral:tRNA from 1 species